rnacentral:rRNA from 25 species
AAAUUGAAGAGUUUGAUCAUGGCUCAGAUUGAACGCUGGCGGCAGGCCUAACACAUGCAAGUCGAACGGUAACAGGAAGCAGCUUGCUGCUUUGCUGACGAGUGGCGGACGGGUGAGUAAUGUCUGGGAAACUGCCUGAUGGAGGGGGAUAACUACUGGAAACGGUGGCUAAUACCGCAUAACGUCGCAAGACCAAAGAGGGGGACCUUCGGGCCUCUUGCCAUCAGAUGUGCCCAGAUGGGAUUAGCUUGUUGGUGAGGUAACGGCUCACCAAGGCGACGAUCCCUAGCUGGUCUGAGAGGAUGACCAGCCACACUGGAACUGAGACACGGUCCAGACUCCUACGGGAGGCAGCAGUGGGGAAUAUUGCACAAUGGGCGCAAGCCUGAUGCAGCCAUGCCGCGUGUAUGAAGAAGGCCUUCGGGUUGUAAAGUACUUUCAGCGGGGAGGAAGGUGUUGUGGUUAAUAACCGCAGCAAUUGACGUUACCCGCAGAAGAAGCACCGGCUAACUCCGUGCCAGCAGCCGCGGUAAUACGGAGGGUGCAAGCGUUAAUCGGAAUUACUGGGCGUAAAGCGCACGCAGGCGGUCUGUCAAGUCGGAUGUGAAAUCCCCGGGCUCAACCUGGGAACUGCAUUCGAAACUGGCAGGCUUGAGUCUUGUAGAGGGGGGUAGAAUUCCAGGUGUAGCGGUGAAAUGCGUAGAGAUCUGGAGGAAUACCGGUGGCGAAGGCGGCCCCCUGGACAAAGACUGACGCUCAGGUGCGAAAGCGUGGGGAGCAAACAGGAUUAGAUACCCUGGUAGUCCACGCCGUAAACGAUGUCUACUUGGAGGUUGUGCCCUUGAGGCGUGGCUUCCGGAGCUAACGCGUUAAGUAGACCGCCUGGGGAGUACGGCCGCAAGGUUAAAACUCAAAUGAAUUGACGGGGGCCCGCACAAGCGGUGGAGCAUGUGGUUUAAUUCGAUGCAACGCGAAGAACCUUACCUGGUCUUGACAUCCACAGAACUUUCCAGAGAUGGAUUGGUGCCUUCGGGAACUGUGAGACAGGUGCUGCAUGGCUGUCGUCAGCUCGUGUUGUGAAAUGUUGGGUUAAGUCCCGCAACGAGCGCAACCCUUAUCCUUUGUUGCCAGCGGUCCGGCCGGGAACUCAAAGGAGACUGCCAGUGAUAAACUGGAGGAAGGUGGGGAUGACGUCAAGUCAUCAUGGCCCUUACGACCAGGGCUACACACGUGCUACAAUGGCGCAUACAAAGAGAAGCGACCUCGCGAGAGCAAGCGGACCUCAUAAAGUGCGUCGUAGUCCGGAUUGGAGUCUGCAACUCGACUCCAUGAAGUCGGAAUCGCUAGUAAUCGUGGAUCAGAAUGCCACGGUGAAUACGUUCCCGGGCCUUGUACACACCGCCCGUCACACCAUGGGAGUGGGUUGCAAAAGAAGUAGGUAGCUUAACCUUCGGGAGGGCGCUUACCACUUUGUGAUUCAUGACUGGGGUGAAGUCGUAACAAGGUAACCGUAGGGGAACCUGCGGUUGGAUCACCUCCUUA